rnacentral:misc_RNA from 1 species
UAAAACGUAUUUUAGGCCCUCACAAGUUUGAGCUUUUAGGCUCUAUGAUUUCUUGACACCAACAUAAAUGUGCGUGGAAGUUGCAAAAAAUAGAAAAUGGACAUCAGAAUAUUAUAGCUCUUUAUUCUCCAAUCAAUUCAAAUUUAUAAUCAUUUUUUUCCAAAUAUGGCAUCAAAAUCCAAAUAUUAAUUAAAAAAUCUUUUGAUUGUGACUCAAAACAUUCAAUAGAUAACUGAAUUAGGUGAAGGUCUAUAAUUAAAUUUAAAUUAUGUAAAUAUGUUAUUAUUAUUUUCUAAAGCUAUAUGGACCUAACCCUCCCUUUUAGGAUAGGUACAUAGGCAGAGCUUCUAGUGUGGUCCAAAUUAAGCAAUUUGUGCAUUAUACUAGCAUUAUUUAAACAUUUUCAGAGUCCUAGUAGAAUUAUACACCUUUUUUUUGUCAAAAGAAAUUAUACAACUUGUUAGCAUUAUAAUAACGUUUGGCCAAGUAGAAAAAUAAAUAUAUAUUAUACUAUCAUUAUUUAGUUUGAAAUUCUUGUUUUCUUUCAUGGGAUAUUUAUGCUUAGUAAAAUGGGAUGUUUUAAAAGAAAUAAAAAGUGACAAAG